rfam:Clostridium roseum strain DSM 7320 CROST_contig000053, whole genome shotgun sequence.
UCCACCGUGAGGUGGAAUCUGAAGGAAGUCGACGGCAAA